rnacentral:tRNA from 1 species
GGGAUUGUAGCUCAGUGGUAGAGUGCUCACCUAGCAUGUGUGAGGCCCUGGGUUUGAUCCUCAGCACCA